rnacentral:rRNA from 1 species
AGGACGAACGCUGGCGGUGUGCUUCACACAUGCAAGUCGAACGAGGUAGCAAUACCUAGUGGCGGACGGGUGAGUAACGCGUGGGAAUCUGCCUUUAGAUGGGGGAUAACGGGCCGAAAGGUCCGCUAAUACCGCAUAGGCCGCAAGGUUAAAGGAGUAAUCCGUCUAAAGAUGAGCCCGCGUCCGAUUAGCUAGUUGGUAGGGUAAAAGCCUACCAAGGCGACGAUCGGUAGCUGGUCUGAGAGGAUGAUCAGCCACAAUGGGACUGAGACACGGCCCAUACUCCUACGGGAGGCAGCAGUGGGGAAUUUUCGUCAAUGGGGGCAACCCUGAACGAGCAACGCCGCGUGCAGGAAGACACUUUUCGGAGCGUAAACUGCUUUUCUCGGGGACGAGUAAGGACGGUACCCGAGGAAUCAGCCCCGGCUAACUACGUGCCAGCAGCCGC